UUGCCGGUGGGAGUCCGGUCCGGGUAGCUGCCAGGAGGCCCGGUAGCAGGUUGCCGGCGUCGGGGGGAAACGCCCGGCGUCGAAGCGCAACGUCAAAAGCCCUGAGAAGGGGGAGCGACUGGACGGUCCGUAGCAUAA
rnacentral:ncRNA from 1 species